AUGAUGACAGGACUUAAAAAGAUCUGCAGGAACCACAAAUCCCCAAGAUUACAAAAGGGAAGCUCUCUGGAAAGAGCUUGCGUGGAAAGCCCUGAGUCACCAGCAAAUACAGAGUGGAGAUUUUUUUCCCCUUUAACUCAGAAGCUUGAUUCUGAAAGUGGUGAUGCUACUAAGGAUGAUCUAGGGUCCACUGGCCUCAUGCUCACAGUUGGGAAGGGGCCUCCUUUGUCACCCUUGCACCUUUUCACAUUUCUCGCUCCUCACCUCCAUGGGUCAAGGUUAGUACUGCAUGGAUAUCUAGUCCAUGGUGGAUCUGACGCUUGCGGUCUGCUCCACUUGCAGAGAUCACUGGACAUUUUCAAGUGUGAACUCUCUGAAGAAGGCAAACAUAAGGAAUCCCGUAUGGUAUUUGCUCCUGGAAAUCAUGAUGUGGAGCAGUGAUCACAGCCGCUAUCAACGGUAGAAUUAGAGAAAGGACACCCUUUUCAGGAGAAAAAGUAAGUGUUGGAAAUAAUUAAAAUAACUACAACUGAUAUAUACCCAGGGGAGCCAUAAAAUGUAGUUUUCUCUGUUGUUGCCAAAUGUCUAGCUGAACUGAAAUAUAAUCCGUUAGCAUCUGACAUGUUAAAAAAAAAAGUCUGACUUAGGAAUGGACAUUGGAGUUGGUUGUUCACCACAUUUCUGAAGUUUACAUCUGUUGACCAGCCCUAAGUCCUACUUAACAUAUGAAAUCUGAUGAGAGAUCACAGUCUGAAUUAAUAGAUGUGAAAUGCAUUGAGUUUAAUUAGCACAUCUUUACUCGUCCAUGCUGAAGACUUGGCAUUGAAAGAAAACUAGAGCAAAAUUCAGUAGCACAAACACUCUGGUACACAGAGAUUUUAAAAAGAAAUUGUAAUAAGAAACAUGAAGCCUAUUGAACUCCUUUAAAAAGCCAAACCACAUGGAGGUAGCCAGUUAAAAAGUACACCCCUUGGAAUUUAGUCUAAAAGUCCGCUAACACAUCUACGCCUUUACUGCUGAAUCACAUCUGACAUGUCUGUGAUCGUGCCAGAAGAAAUAAAAUAAUAAAACUAACCCA
rnacentral:lncRNA from 1 species